rnacentral:miRNA from 1 species
UGCAGGCUUCCCCAAACUCAGGCCCUCCAGAUGUUGCUGAACUACAACUCCCAUGAUUCUAUGAAUGAAAUAGAUAGGCUGAGAAUCAUGGGAGUUGUAGUUCAGCAACAUCUGGAGGGCCUGAGUUUGGGGAAGCCUGCUUUAUUGA